UCCCUUGUGUCAUCGGGGGCUGCUGUAACUGCUGGCUCGGGGGCCUUGUGCAGCCCUUCCACUGCCAUGAGCCCUCGCACAGCCCUGCAACCUUUCCAUGAGGAAGUAAUGGUCUCCAAUAGUCGUUAGCAGAAUUACCACCAGGUGUCCUGAAGAUAACAUGGGAUACGUUUGCAGAAUCCAGGACAUAGUUCUGUUGUAACUACUCAUCCACGAAUCCACACAGUGUACCUGUGAGACAGAUUACAAAGGACGUAACAGGAAAAUCAUAAUGACAUGACUCCAUAGAAAAGAAAUUCUCCAGCGAUAAAACCAGUUUAUCACCAUCUUCUCCCAAUCUGUUACCUAAUCAACAAUUUGUCCCAGUGUAAUACUGGUGUUCUCCAGGACAUCCUCUUUGGCUUUAUUUCCAUUAUAAUCAGCUGCAUUUGGAGGGAUGAUUAAGGAAAAUAAGUUAUUCUUCUUGAAGAAAACUACAAAAUUAAAGUAAUUCCACACACCGGGAACACAGAUUGUUAUUCUUGUUACAUAGUAGAAAGCUGAUAGACAAAAUCAGCUGAAUAAAAUUUACUAGGGGUCACAGAUGAGUUAAAAGUAAAGCAAAGAAUUAAACCCAGAACCGCUCUUUUCCAUUCUGAAUACUAGUCUACUCUCCUGUCACCAGACCACCGUAACUCCUCCAAACAACAAAAAAUAAACAUUAUAAUAUGAUAUGAUAAAGAGCUGUUACAAUCUGAGUAAACACAUCUUAGCUCACAAAUUAAAAUAAUCACUGGUCUCUGGCUAAUCCAGCUGCUACACAUGCACACAAAAUCCCUCCACUGAAAGUCACUGUUAAUUUUAGUGGUUUUUUUUCCAAGUUGAUAAUAAAUGGCUUUUUAUAAAAGGCAUACAAUAUGGUUCAAUAUCCUGCCUGCCUUCAGCCAGGUAAGCUGAAAGAUUACUGAAAUGAAAAAGCAACAAUAAUAUUACUGAAAACAUUACAACAUUUUACCAAAUUGAUUAUUUAAAACCAAAUUUAUUUUAUUUUUAAAGACAACUCUCCUAACUCCUCCAUACAAUCCCCACAAAUUCCUCAUGGAAAAUUUUCUUAUGAAGGUUUGCAAGUUGCUAAUACACAGCUACAGCUUUACUGCGUGCCCAGCUUCAAGUCCUUCUACACUGUGAGAACGUGAUGAGCCUAAUCUGCAUGAAGUUCUCCAAAAACUAAGGUUUUAUUCUCUGCCUUAAUUCUUGGCGUUCAUGUGCAGCCUUCAAACGGUGCUAACUGUUUAAACAGAGCUAAUUUUCAGGCAAUGAUAACUGCACAAAGAUCUUGAAAAAAUCUGAUUUAUUAUAUAUCAAGACAGACACUUGAGAACUGAAGCCUUAAAACUCUUGAGAUGCUCCCAUAAAUGUUACUGCCUUUCUCUCAGUAACUCAUCUAUGCAUGUCUUUCUCCUACCUAGAAAAUCUGUCCACCCCUGAGGAUCCUAGAGAAAAUGAAACUGCUGUUUCUUCCUAAAAAAAGUGUGUCAAAUCUAUUCAAAACUUCAAACAUACCUAAGAGUACUGUAAAGGCAACAACUUACUGCCAUUUCCCUUGACAGAAAACAGAAUUGGUUGGAUGAAAGCUACACAAAUUGAUAGUUCCUUCCUCUCCUCUACAUGAUGUCAACAGUUAAAAGGGAUCGGAUGUGCCACAGCAAACCUUUACAGCACUCCCCAGCCCGUCUCAAGCCUGACAUGCUGAGCUGCUGUACAACGAUGAGUUAGAAAGUAAAAUGGUAGAUACACAAAUGUCUCCAAGGAGGAGGAAACUACAGACUGCAUUUUGGGUGCCUUCCAGUGGCUCCAGGCAGAAGAGCAUGGCUCCAGAACAGCUAUGCAGAAAACUUUGUUUAGGAAAGUCCAAAGAAAGGAGAAAAUACACAGGCUUCUUCUGAGACAAGUCUGGUUCCCUUAAUAAUCACCAAGUCAUUAAAAUGUUCCUUUGAUUCAGAAAUCCCACAAAGGUUCUCUCUAUAGCAGCAAAGACUAUGACAGCACAUAGUUGGGCUUUCACAAGUGCUUCUAAUCCAACUCAUAAUUAGGGCACAGGAACUGUUCCUUGCCAUUUUUAAUACUCUCAGACUGGAAAGGGUGGCUGUCCGUACCCAACUGCUAUUUAAACCUUCCCUUCAAUGGAAGCUGUGACUGACUCCCCAUAGAAAGGAGGGGUAAGGAUGCAGCAAAUCCUCAGUCCAAACAAAGCAGCUUCUAGUACAGACAUCAUGAAAGAGAAGGGCAAAAAGAAAGGCAAAGACGAAACUGAAGAAGCUGGGACAAUGAUGAUUUUUGAACCUUUUUUUAGAAGCCCCUCUUCAUGUUCUUUUAGCUUCUCCAAAGCACAUCCACCACGGCAGUAGGACGUGCAGAUCAGUUCUUACAAUUUUUUUUCCCUUUGUUCAUUAUUUGUCACAUUGCUCACACACACAAACGUGGUCAAAAGUCUACGCCUUUAACUUCACAUUGCCUAGCUUCCACAUUUCUCCUCAAACAGUAUUUACUGUGGAUAUCCAGAUGUGCUUCAUGAUCGAGGUUGACGAGCAGUGAGAAAUUUAGGUAACUGCAUUUGAAUAUAGACCAGAUUACUGACCACGUGCUAGCCGGAAACGAAACCUGAAGACCCCAAAACUUUCAGUUUAGUGUGGAAAUUAUUAACACAUCUGUGAUAGCAUAGUUUACUUAAGCAAGCUGCAAAACUAGAACUAUCUUUCUGAAGUAUUUGUACCUUGGCUCAUUCCUAUAAUAUCUGCAUACAUUACAUAUUUUUGCACAAUACCUGCAGCACCUUAUUUUGUGAAACUCAUUUGUUGGUGGCACAAACUACACGGGCAAACAGAAUGAAUCAAAUCAGUUCUUGUGAUCUCCAGUAAAAU